rnacentral:tRNA from 1 species
GUUUAUAUAGUUUAAUAAAAACUUUAUAUUUUCAUUAUGAAGAUAAUAGUAAUAUUUAUAAAUU